AGCAGCCGCGGUAAUUCCAGCUCCAAUAGCGUAUAUUAAAGUUGUUGCAGUUAAAAAGCUCGUAGUUGAACUUCGGAUCAAUGGAUCGGUCAUGCCAUCGGUAUGUACUGGUCUCAUUGGUUCUCACCUUCUAAGGAACCAUAAUGUCAUUCAUUUGAUGUUUUGGGGAAUUAGGACUGUUACCUUGAAAAAAUUAGAGUGUUUAAAGCAGGCUAACGCUUGAAUACAUUAGCAUGGAAUAAUGAAAUAGGACAUCGCAUUCUAUUUUGUUGGUUUCUAGGAUCGAUGUAAUGAUUAAUAGGGAUAGUUGGGGGCAUUAGUAUUCAAUUGUCAGAGGUGAAAUUCUUGGAUUUAUUGAAGACUAACUACUGCGAAAGCAUUUGCCAAGGAUGUUUUCAUUAAUCAAGAACGAAAGUUAGGGGAUCGAAGACGAUCAGAUACCGUCGUAGUCUUAACCAUAAACUAUGCCGACUAGGGAUCGGAUGAUGUUGAUUUUUUAAUGACUCA
rnacentral:rRNA from 1 species